ensembl:lncRNA
CUUCCAGAGAAAUACAUGAAUAUGACAGUUCAGAGCUCACAUGUUGCAUCAGUUCUGUGUAAUUACAGCAGCUUUAUCCAGUCACAGAGCUUAAGACUAUAAGCCGGUGUGCAGGACAGGAGACAAGCAGGGGCCAGUGCUGGAGCUGGAUCCUUAUCUGUGAUCUUAUGUCUCCAGGCCUGCUGUCACAGGCAACCAGCAAAGAAAGGACGUGUCUGUGUGAAGCAGGUUUAGUGGAGCCAGAUAAGAAAAAUGUAUCCCGGAUGUGCUGAACUUGCUUCAGGCCCCAGGACACAUCACUUCAUCACUGGAUUCACCAAAAUGGACCUAAAUCUUGGUGUAGUGCGUGAGUGUGUCUGGUAGACUGUGUACGUGGGACUCCGGGGCCUGGAUGAGGAAAAGGGUGACGUGAUGCUGAAUCAGGGCCUCGCCGGCAGCUGAAGGGCCGAUGUGGUAACUCUGAAGUUUUGAUACAGCCGAGCGGCGUGUGUGUGCAGAUUGCAGAGAGAGAACAAUUGAUGG